UACGUAGGGCGCAAGCGUUAUCCGGAAUUAUUGGGCGUAAAGAGCUCGUAGGUGGUUUGUCGCGUUGUUCGUGAAAACUCACAGCUCAACUGUGGGCGUGCGGGCGAUACGGGCAGACUUGAGUACUGCAGGGGGAGACUGGAAUUCCUGGUGUAGCGGUGGAAUGCGCAGAUAUCAGGAGGAACACCGGUGGCGAAGGCGGGUCUCUGGGCAGUAACUGACGCUGAGGAGCGAAAGCGUGGGGAGCGAACAGG
rnacentral:rRNA from 1 species